ensembl:snoRNA small nucleolar RNA SNORA69
AAAGCAGGUUGCAAUUACAGUGCUUUGGUUUGUGGAAGUACUGACAUUAUCCUGCUGAAAGAAACACUGUGUUGAUCGUCUUUGGUUUUGUCUUUAUGAGGGUAAAACCAUGACAGAUUAACAUGCACAAUC